rnacentral:rRNA from 1 species
AUGCUGACGAAAUGGUCUCUAUUGACCCGUCUUGUAACACGGACCAAGGAGUCUAACAUCUAUGCGAGUAGGUGGGUGGCAAACCCAGCUGCGUAAUGAAAGUAAAAGGUAGGAACUGGGCAACCACGGCACUACCGACCGAUCAUCACUUGUGAAAGAUUUGAGUAAGAGCAUAACUGUUGGGACCCGAAAGAUGGUGAUCUAUGCCUGAACAGGGUGAAGCCAGGGGAAACUCUGGUGAAGGCUCGUAGCGAUACUGACGUGCAAAUCGUUCGUCUGAUUUGGGUAUAGGGGCGAAAGACUAAUCGAACUAUCUAGUAGCUGGUUCCCUCCGAAGUUUCCCUCAGGAUAGCUGGAGUUGAACAGUUUUAUCAGGUAAAG